GAUGAACGCUAGCGGCAGGCCUAAUACAUGCAAGUCGAACGAGAUUAUCCAGCUUGCUGGAUAUGAAAGUGGCGCACGGGUGCGUAACGCGUAUGCAAUCUACCUUUUACAGAGGGAUAGCCCAGAGAAAUUUGGAUUAAUACCUCAUAGUAUAACAUGACCGCAUGGUCGAGUUAUUAAAGUCACAACGGUAAAAGAUG
rnacentral:rRNA from 1 species